GCUCCCCACCUCUUCCCUCGGUGCUCCUUUCACAAGCCUUUAAGCAGUGAACCACCAGGAAGGCCAGACUGCAGGGGAAAGAACCUGAGCUUUGGGUUGGCAACCCUGACUGUCACUUGGGAACAAGAUGAUGCUGAGAAAUUAUUCUGACCAUCAUGGUCCCAGUAAAACAGGAGUAAGAAUCAACUUUCCUCAAAAGAUGGUUGAGAUUAUUCAAAACAUGGAAAGGGCUUAACAUGGUGCCUAGUGCACAGUCAACUCCCAGUAAAUAUUGGCUAUCGUCAAUUUUAUAGUUACAAGGGCUUCAGACAAAAGAGGGAGAGAGAGCACUGGGGGGUGGGUGUGGGUGUGGGUAUUUUCACUAAAGAAGAAGAGGAAUUUAACUUAAGUCUUGAAGGGUGAGAAGAUGUGACCAGGCAGCGAUGACUCCUUAGCUGAGACAGACACAUGAAAGCCUCCUUCUUGCAGUUCCUGUCGUGGCUCAGUGGUUAAUGAAUCCGACUAGGAACCAUGAGGUUGCUGGUUCGAUCCCUGGCUUCGCUCAGUGGGUUGAGGAUCUGGCGUUACCAUGAGCUGUGGUGUAGGUUGCAGAUGCGGCUCGGAUCCCACAUUGCUAUGGCUCUGGCAUAGGCUGGACCCCUAACCUGGGAACCUCCAUAUGCCAAGAGUGUGGCCCUAGAAAAGACAAAAAGACAGGAAAGAAAAAAAAAAAAAAAGAAAAUGAAAGCCCCCUCCUGGACUGAGGACUCAGGGCACUAUGGGCUCAGAGGCACCAGGUGUAGGUCUGUCCUGUCGUCGGAAAUGAUGUCCACUGUCACUGCUGUGGAACUAACGUACUGGGCUCUCGGGAGUGAGGCUUAGGACGGCUGGUUUGCAGCACUGCUCCAGCUCCAGCUCCUCCUUCUUCUCCCAACACAUAUCUUCUCCCAGCAGGUUCUUCUUCCUCUUCCCUCCGUGGGUCUAAACACUAAACUCUUGGAACUUAAAGUGUGGAUAUGAGUUAUACCACUUGCUUUUGCCAUGCCUUUGAGUUGCUGAAUUAGAGUUGCCUAAAUGAUCCUCUCCUUCCUUCCUUCCUCCUUCCCCCCUCCCUCACUUCCCAUUUUCCUUCCCCUCUUCCUUCCUUCUUGGGAGAGUGAACUUUUGAAUACAACGAGCCACACUGGCUUUGAAUUGCAAUUCUGUCACUUAAGCGUGUCACGGCUUUAAACAUCAGUUUUUUUUUCCUCUGGAAAAUAAGACAAAUAAUUGUAUUCACAUCAAAGAAAUCUCAGGAAGAUUAAAUGCACUAGGCUAUGUCAGAACAUUCCUCAGCAUAUCAGGCCUUGAAUAAAAAGCUCAGUAAAUGUCUCCUUUAAUUAUUACUACUCAAAGGCAUUUGUUGAAAGAAAUAUGCAUGUCUAUAUGUGUGUAUGUGUGUAUGUACACAUAUAUAAAUUAUAUAAAUACAUUAAAAUGUAAUUAGGAAGGAAUAGGACGAGAGUUGUACAUGCUGAGACCACAGACAUCCUCAAACAACAAGCUCUAGUGAACAGAACCUCCACGUGUUGGUUAACUCUGCACCUUCCCCAUGGAAUGCCAUACUGAUCCUGCUUCUUUUAAAAAUACUGCUGAUGCUCAAUGGUCACCAUCACCCAGAAGCAUGCUUCUGUCUUCCCUUGUGCUCCUCCUUCCCAUCAAAGAGUCCUUCACACUGUCUGCAACAAGAAAAACCUAACACAGACUUCCCCAACUGCGCGAAGAAGUACUGAGACAGAAAUAAGCCGGCGUCAUAUUCUACAAAGCUUUGUUUGGUCACCUCAGUUAGAAGGCCAACAUCAGAGCACUGUCUUCAAAUUCUCCAGCAUCUGCUAGUUGACCUUGAUCAAAGCUACCCCAGCCCGCACACCUUUGGUGGUAUGGUCAGGACUGUAACUGAUGAAACCUUUUAGCCACAUGAACGAUAAGGUCACACCAAAAUCUCCACUGGAGAAUGACCUGCCUUGUGCAUGAAUUAAUUUAUAGUAAGAAAUAGGAUACGUAGGGAUGUAGGAAUUAGGUCAUUCCAUAGGUAGGGAUGACCUUGUCUGCUGUAUCCUUUCUGGACCCUCAGGGACUGUCAAUAAAUACUAGCAAAUCAAUGAGUAAAUCCACGGGAGGCUGUAGGAAAGGAACCGGUUUAAAAAGAAUUGCUAAAUGUUAUUGAAUGUUUAUUUGUGUGCCAGAAAGUUUAACAUGCACUCAUUAAUUUAAUGCAAAUUAAUUAAUUAAUAUUAAUUAAUUUAAACAACCAGACAUUAUGGCAGGUCCUAUUUUUAUUUCCAUUUGUGAGAGGAUGAAACUAAAGCUAAGAGGAGUUAAAGCCUGAGGUCAGGACGGCACAGUGCUUUUCCUGAUCAUAACACAUGGUCUCAAAUGCCCUUUUUGCUUUCACCAAAUGGUAAGAGAAAAACAUUCAACUUUGACAUUUUACUUCAGCAUAAAACUUAUUAAAUACUCUAGUGGUUCCACUAGGUGGACUAUGGUUUCAUAUUCCAUAGGGCUUUGCCUCAGUUUAUCCAUGUGCAAGGCAGAAACGAUGAAGCCUGCCUCUUCUCUGGGAGGUUCUGAGACUUCAUUAGGGCAACAGUUAUUAAAAUGCUUUGAAGUUAGAAAGUACUUAUUAAUAGCAGGACUCAUGGUUAUAUUUCCAAAUAGGAUAUCCUCGUCUUUAAAGCCAGUUGCCUGGGAUGAGCCCCAAGGCCCCCCAAAGGGAAUGGGAAAGGGAGCAUUCACGUCGGAUGCCUAAUUCAGCCCAUAUGGUUUUGCAGCGAUUCCAUAAGUGAGGAGGAGAGCAAAUAACCCCAUCUCUUUAGCUUUCAAGUGUGGGAACAUUCAAGCUUGCUCCUUAAUGAUUCUAACAUUCAGGAAUGUUGGCACCUUUUCUUCCUGACUUCACGUUAUGAAACCCAGGGGGUGUUGAGUAACAGGAUGUACGUUCAUGCCAUUUUCAGUUUCUUUGGGGGUUCAUUUUGGGAAACCUUCCUUCAAGCAAGACUUCAGUGGUUAGACACGGAACAGCCCUUUAACCUCAGGGCUGUUGCCUCCAACGUGGUGUAAAGGUCCUGGUGUGUGGGGUAAGAGUUGGAUCCUGUUCCUGAUGGGUUAGGAGCCAUUGUUUGCAAAUGUGCUCCCCGUUGGAAAAGGAUUAGAUCCCGGAUAGUAGGGAACAUUAUGUUCAUAUUGCAAAAUCUUGGUAUGAUCUGGUCUUCGGGCUGAUGGGGAUUUGAUAAAGAAUUCUUCUUGGCUGAGAGUGGCGUCCUUGGGCUCUGCCUAUUGCUGCAUCCCAUCCCCCCACCCCCCACCCCACCCCCAGUCACACUGCAAGGCAAGAUUUAGAGAAAUCCCUUUGGCUCGGCCAGAGUUGCCUCGGGGCUGUGGGAAGAUCACAUGAUUCCGGGCAGAAAAUGGAUUUUGCCUCUCUAAUGUGUUACCUUGGGCAGGUGGUUUUAACUCUGCAGCUUAAGGUCUCUCAUCGGAAGGUGGGGACCAUAAUAUUUUAUUCUCUUUACCAUCCGGGUUUUGCGAUGAUCAAAUCUUUCUCCAUCUCUAUCUAUUACUCUAGCUAUUGCUUUACAGUAGCUGGAGAGACAGACUGAUAGAAAUAUAGGAACAUAUGGGAAAUGGGAGGCAGUCUAGCGUGGUGACCAUGACGUAGAUUCUAAUUCUGUGCGGCCCUGGGAAACUUACUUAACUUCUGUCUCAAUUUCUUCCUCGGGAAGAAAGAGAUGAAAAUAAUACCCACAUCAGAGCGUUCCGAAAAUUAAAUGAGAUGAUUUACAUUGAAGCACUUAGCACAAAACCUGGCACACUGUAAUCUUGUAACAAGUCUUAGCUUCGGUCAACGGCCUCAUUGUUAAGGGAAUGGUUAGAAACUUAUAAAAGGUUAUACAGAUGCAGAAAGUAUUACUAUCUUUUAAAUUUGCGCUUUAUUUUGGCAAAAAGCAAUCCCAAGGCUUACAAAUUGUUCUUUGGAAAAAUGAAUUAUUCACCAGGUUAUUGGCCUCAGCACAUUUAUUUCAUCCUCAGCAGGAACGAGAGAAGUGCAAAAUCUGCUGGCUGCAGCUGUGGCCCACUUAAGGGGUGCACUUGAGGAAAUUCAGCACAGUGAGAACCUGGCUGCGACUGUUUCUUGUGAGGUCAAUGUCUUUUGCAGAAUAGGAUCCAUGGUGAAAAGAUGCCUGGAAAGUGAAUCUCUGCAAACUGAAUGCUAUCUUCUUAUGAGGUUUCUGUCUAAUUGCACAAAUAUGUUCAUUCAGAAACUGGGACAGACAAUAUUAGCUGAUAUUUCCAGUCACUUCUUCAAUAGAAAUAUUGUAAGUAUGUGCUAAUCAGAUCACCCAUAAUUGCAAAAGAGUGAGGUUUUUCUUUCAACGUGGUCUCUUGAAACCUGAGAGAGGUAAUUCAUGCUGACAGAUGAUCAGAGUUACCUGUGGAUCUUUAAAAAGUGUCCCGCUUACCCUCUCAUGCUUCUGAUUCACAGGUCUGGAUGAGGCUCAGGACUUUUGUUAUUUGGGGGUUUGUUUUAGAGCCACAGAUGAUUUUUUACGCACAACUAGUGAGAACCACCGGAAGGGAAGACAGAGGCAUCUUAAAUGAAUAGUACUCAUCACUGAUUUAAUAAUUCAACUCUUAUUCCUCUGCCUUGGCUUAUAUCCAAAGUUGGUCAUUCAGAUCCUGUUCUCUAGCUCUUAUUUUAAAAUUGACUCUUUUUCUUCCUGUACAAAUCUAUGUGAGUAAUGAGAAGGAGAUGUACUGGAAAGGAAGGGGACAGGUGACAGGAACACAGAAAUGGAAAAAAACAGAGAACCCUAGUUAGGAUGUGUAGAAGAAUUAAGGAAAGUAAAAGAUUAUAUUUUUGGAACGAAGAAGAGGGAAGGAAUUCUGAUGCGUGCGUUUUCAGACACUGACGAUGCAGCCACUGAGCUACGAAGGCUUGACCUGUGAAAGGUUUCCUUUUACCCAUUUAUGUUGGUCAGAUCUAAUCCACUUAAAACACGUAGAUGCCUAUACUCAAAGUAGUUUCCAUAAAGGGUAGAGAAGGAUCAGUGUCCAGUACAUGUGAUUUCCCUGGAGAACCUGGGGGGCUGCCCAUUUACAGGUAUGGCAGACAGUCUCCAAGAGGGCUGCCAUCAGCACUGCUCCUCAUCCAAGGGUGGAGCCUUAAAUCCAGGCUGUUAUUAGUGAUUGCUCACAAACAGAAUGUGUAGGAAAUGAUAUUCUGGGCCUUUCAAGGCCAGGUCAGACAAAGCCUUAGAGCUUCUGCCUGAAUCUCUGCCAAGAGUCACUCCUGGGAUGCCUCAGAAUCCAGCUGCCAUGCUGGGGGAGACUCAAGAAACAUGGAAAGGACAGGUGAAAGUAAGUGCCAUGGUUGACAGUCCCAGCUGAACUCUCAGCUGGCCUCUCAGCUGAACAUCUCAGCCAGAUGAUUCCUUUCUAACCUAGCCCUCGGAUGACUGCGCCCUAGCAUCCUAGUCAAAGCCAGGUAAACCAGGACAACCACCCAAUCAACUACUGAAUUGUGAGAGAUAAUCAACUAUUGUUCUAAACCACUAUGCUUUGGACUGGUUUGUCAUAUAGCAAUAGAUAACUGAAAAAAAAAAGAUGAAAGUACAUAACUGCCACUCUAUAUUUACCAGCAAUGAGGAAGCUAUUAAACCGGUUGAUUUUAUGUAUUUAUCUUUCCGUUCAUCCAUCCAUCCAUCCACACAUUCUUCUACCCACCGUUCGAUCCAUCCAACUAGCCAUCUGACCCCUACUGAACAUCUACUGUGAAAAGAAUAGUGGAAGAUACAAGUUUAGUUUUUCAUUCAACAAGUAUUUAAUUAGAAUUUACUAUUGCCAGACAGCGAUCAAGAAGGUAUAGACAGAUGAGAAAAGGAGUUGAAAUCAAAGGCAUCAGACAGAUAUGGUAACUGCUUGUACUCCAGUGGGGGAAGAUGGAAAAGAAAGAAGUCCCUAAAUAAGCAAAUGGUGUAACUUAGAAGAGUACUCUACAGGAAAUAAAACAUCAUUACAGAAUAACUAUUUUCUGAGUUAGCAGGUAAGUGUGACUGCUGCAUGUGUCUGUAGGAUUGUUAGUGGAGAAAGUGGCACCUGGAGACUUGAAUGGCAAGGAGACUGGGGGGAGGGGAGCACUUUCUCAUAAGAGAAAACCGAGUAAAGGUUCUGAAAAGGGAACAAGAUAGGUACAAAAAAAAGGGACAGCAAAAAGACUGGUGUGGUUGGAACAUUUGAAUAAGAGGGAGAAUGAGAGAAGAGAGGAUGGAGAAGUAAGAGGAAGUAAGAUCAUGUGGGCUCUAAAGGGGGUUUUGAAUUUAACUAAAAAUAUACUGGGAAGCUCUUGCAAGAUUUCAAAGCAGGGGAAGAGGAUGAGUGUACUUUCCUUAGAUGACUCUUGCUGCUGGGUAGAGAAUGAACUGUAGAGGGGAAAGAGCGGAAGUGGGGAGACCACUUGGAUGCUCUUGCAGUGGUCCAUGUGAGAAGUGGCAGGAACAUGAACUAGGUGGGUAGCAGUGGGGACAAUGAGAGAAGGUCCUAUUCAGAAUGUGUCUCUCAGGAGUUGCUGUCGUGGCUCAGAGGUUAACAAACCUGACUGGCAUCCAUGAGGAUGCAGGUUGGAUCCCUGGCCUUGCUCAUUGGGUUAAGGAUCUGGUGUUGCCAUGAGCUGUGGUGUAGGUUGAGGACAUGGCUUGGAUCCCAAGUUGCUGUGGCUGUGGUGUAGGUUGGCGGCUACAGCUCUGAUUGGUCCCUGGCCUGGGAACCUCCUUAUGGCGCAGGUGCGGCCCUAAAAAAGAAAAACAAAACAAAACAAAAAAA
ensembl:lncRNA